rnacentral:lncRNA from 1 species
AUUUCAAAUUAAACUAAACUAAAAUACCCAAGUAAGCCAUUAACUUUGUUCUAGUUUGGUAAAUUUCAGUUCUUGAAUUUGAAGACAUUGGCAAGCUUGAGCGGAGGCUAGCACCUAGCACACACAGUCAUAUUCAUCACCCAGCUGUGUCUCUGGUCCACAGUCCAGAAAAACGUCAUCCUUCAGGAGCCCAUCGGGGAGUUUGGUGUCAUCAAGUGCUAUAGCAUGAACCAAUCAACAGAUGGAGCAAACUGCAAGGCCCUGUAUGGCAGUCCCCUUCAAAUCCAGGUUGAAGUAGAAGCUGGUAAGUAAAACCAACAUGAGCAGAAAUAAAAGCAUCUGGUCUUACAUUUCCAAGAGUACAAAUCUUGGUAGAAUGAGACAACUUUUCUAUCUACGAAUGUGACCUACAAAGGUACGAAUGUGACCUACAAAGUCCACCGUGGUGAGAUGUUGGUGGCCAAUUCAUCAGCAGUCAGAGGAAUCGUCCCCCACAACAUCACAGUGGGAUCAGAGGUGGAGCAACAACUGGGCUCUGGCUGCCACCAGCUGACCCUGCAUGCCUCUAACGGGGUCUCGGUCUUGGGAGUGUCCGCUGAGCUGCAGGUGUCUGGAGCCAACGGCAGCAUCUCAAAGACCAGAGACAUUUGAAAACGGAAGCAUGCAGGUUUACAAUAUCUCAACCACUAUCCAAGGAUAUUUGCAAGUGAAAGUCAGGUCCUGGAUUGUCUUCUCACACAUGGAUGUGGAUAACACAGCAGUUGUUUGUCACAACAGUUCAGACCUCAGACAGAAACGCAUAUGA